GAACUUACCUGGCAGGGGAGAUACUGUGGUCAACAGGCUUUCCCAGGGUGAGGCCUGUCCAUUGCAAUCUGGACAGGCUAACCAAUGCAAGUUUCCCGUAUGUGGUAAACUUGACUGCACUAUUUUGUGGUAAUGGGGGACUGUGUUUGUGCUCUCCUCUG
rfam:Alligator mississippiensis ScZkoYb_61, whole genome shotgun sequence.